CCCUUAGAUGUCCUGGGCCGCACGCGCGUUACACUGAUGCAUUCAACGAGCUUAUAACCUUGGCCGAGAGGCCUGGGCAAUCUUGUUAACGUGCAUCGUGAUAGGGUUAGAUUAUUGAAAUUAUUAAUCUUGAACGAGGAAUUCCUAGUAAACGCAGAUCAUCAAUCUGCAUUGAUUACGUCCCUGCCCUUUGUACACACCGCCCGUCGCACCUACCGAUUGGAUGGUCCGGUGAAGCCUCGGGAUUGUGGUUCUUGCCGCUUUAUUGUGGCGUGACCGCGAGAACUUGUCUAAACCUUAUCAUCUAGAGGAAGGUGAAGUCGUAACA
rnacentral:rRNA from 1 species